ACGACCUUAGUUGAACAAGAUCUGUUCUAUAGGUUGUACGUCUUAGUCUACAUAGAUUCCUAUUCAGACAAGCACACAAAUCCAGAAGAUGAACUACGCCUCUCGUGCCAGAGCGUGAAUACUGUGAUGGUUGGGGGUGGGUUCCCACUUCCACCCUUCUCUCGAUGAACGUCCCGUCUGUGACAUUUCCAGUUCCACAUGGUGAAGGCCUGAGAGCGUUCUGACGGAUC
rfam:Picea glauca, whole genome shotgun sequence.